UUGAAUUACAUAGGAAUAUUACUGUAGCAACUGGUUGCUAAGGGAACGAGACACCACCAUUAUCCUCUUGUUGUGUGACUGAGAGGCGGGAUUGGAAAAGUGCACGAGGAGGGGUGGGAAGCGGAGACGGAGCGUGGUUGAAAUUCCACCAAAUGGAUAAGAGGCAGACAAAGUUUGACACGUUUAUCUUUUCCGUGGUUGGCCGACACGAAUGAACGAGUAAACGCUGUUUUUAGCCUAGUGGAAGUAUCACAAAUGAAUACCUCCGUAUUAUUUAUUCACUGCACUGACUCUCCACGAGGGCACAAGUCCGCCUGACAAUUUUCGCGUAAAGAGAGGCAGCGCGGGAGAGCUCACUUGUAGCCUGGCAGACAUGCAUGACCAAGGAAGAUAGGCGACAUAAACAGAUCACUGGGGUCAGGGCCUGUUCCAGAGGGAGCCGUAUAUCCUGCGCCUCGGGCUCGUCAGAGUCGUGAAAGAAGAAAAGUUUUCUGCUAGCCCAUGCCGCCAGCAGCGUCACUAUCCCUCUACCUAACACACUGAGUUGACCUCCUCAGUGCUUGUGUGACGGGUGGUGAGGGUGAAGAAGGAGGGAGAGUUUAUCAGUGACCCAACUUCGCCCAAGAUGGAUGAGGAUUUCCUGAGCAGUACCCUGACUACCUCUGAAUCAGACCUGUCCUCAACCUCUUUUUUGACAUUGGAGGCGAAGGCAGCCUUCAUCUUUGUCCUCAUCCUUUUCCUCGUCUUGGGCCUCCUGAUCAUACGCUGCUUCCGUAUCUUGCUCGACCCUUACCGCAGCAUGCCCUCCUCUACCUGGACUGACUACAUGGAGAAGGACACCUUUGAUUACCGUAUUGCCUGAGGGCCCUUCCUUAUCAAAGGCUGCUGUACUGCAUCGCCUGAGGUGCUGGUGACCAGAGCUGCUGCAUUGCCAAAGAAGCAUCAAAGAUAUCUAUCUAAGAGAGUUUCCACGUGUCCGGAUUCAGCGCAUUGAAACACAUCUUCUGAUUCCUGAGUGUUAUCUUGAGAUACGGGCUGACUAUAGAAUUGCCUGAGGACUCCUACUCUGAGGCAGGAACAAUGGCAGUGGGAGGUUCUUCACCUUGGCCACAAGGGGAUCACUGUGUUUCCUGAGCCCUUAAACAUUUCCGAGAUACUGCAAUGCCAGAGGGGUCCUUCACUGGUGCUACGAGGGAAGCUGGUGUUUUGCCCAAGGGACAGGCUAUCGUAACUGAAAUAGAAAAGCUGUUUUUCUCUUGAAGGAACAGGGGGAGCCUGUCCUCUCCUGCAGCAAGUGAUAUAACUACUCCAGUGACUGAGCACAGCUUGAUCACAUCACCUCCUAAACCUGACCUGGCAUGCUAAGAAGACCACCUUUUUGUACACUGCCCUUUCUGAUUUGUGUUCUAAAAUGUUGGUUUUGGUAAAGAGAGAGAUCUUUAAAGCUGUAAUUCUAUGGCCUAGGUUUUAGGUUACUGUACUUAGUCAGUCAGUAACACACACACACACACACACACAAACAACACACACACACACACACACACACACACACACACACACACACACACACACACACACACACACACACACACACACACACACACACACACACACACACACACACGGUCAUACAGGCCCCCUGUACAAACACACUACACAAACUAUUCUCCUACACAAAGACACCCACACAGACUCGCAACACUCAUGCACUCUAUGCUCAUAUAUACUCAGAAACAUGCAAAGACCUACAAUGACCAUCACACUUUGUCCAAUAUCACACCCCAGGAGCCUUUCGACAAACGUGGGAUUAUUCUGGCCACGUCAGGGGAACGAGUGCAGCACUUUCCUCUCUGUGACGAGGGGUGGGAGUGUGUGUCGUUAUCUCUCAAAUUAGCCUGCAGUUGUCCUUUUUCUGGGAGUGCAUUUCAGUUCAGCCACUGACGAUGAGUCUUAUUACUCUGGCUGUCACUGACAGUGCAGUGACAAGCCUGAAGAAAAUCAUUUCCACGUUAUCUCAACAAAAUAAUUCAAUGUGAUGACGUUGAAUCAGAGUGGAAAACUGGUUGAAUUUGCAAACAGUAAUCAAUGUGAGGGAAUUUCUGUCUAAAUCCAAUGACGGUGAUUUUUUGUUGUUGAUUUCAAGUUGAAUUCACAUUAGUUGACAACUCCACCAAAUGUAAAUCAAAACUAGACGUUGAACUGACGUCUGUGCCCAGUGGGGCAACAAUUCACUGAAACACGGCUAUUACUACUACACAGAUGUAGAAUCUUAAUUUGAUCAGUCUUUUGUUGCUGAGAAUUUACAAGCACAGCAGGAAAUGCAACCAUUUAGUGUAUUUGAGGUUUAAAAAGGCUUCUAUAAUUUAUUGUUUCCAUUUAGACAUUUCUAACUUGAUUUAUAAAAAAAAUGUGUUAUCAACCUUUACAAAAAUGUCCAUUAAUUAUAAUCCACAUAAUAAUUCACCAUGUCCUGUUGCUGGAGGAUGAUUUUCCUGCUGUAGCAAACUGACUAAAAUUAAGAUCCUACAUAUGUAGCACAAGACUCCUGAAAGUUCUGAAUCCUAACUUGAAAUAAAUUAGCGUAACUCAUAGUUUCUGAACUGGGGACCUAUCUCAAUCGACUGAGAGUCACGUAACCAGGUGGCAUUAUUGGUGCUGUAUACCGGCACAGAUGUUCACUGAAUGCAGACUUUCUCUGUUUCUAAUCCCUUUAAUGCCGAUUUUCACCGCUCUUAGUCUGUCUCCUCCUCUUUGUUAGCUCUUUGCCUUACAUAAAGCUUGUUUACAUUUGACAAACUGGUGGUGGAACAGCCUGGGAGCCUAUAGUUUCAUAAGACAUUUAUUACCCUUUAAGAUAGUUGCCCUUUGAGGGAGUUCUGCAUGUAUAUUCUCUGAUGAAAGUUCCUGUUAUGAUGAGCUGCUGCUCUACCUGCAAAGAGACUCAGAUGAUCUGUGUUGUUUGGCAAACUGGAAAUGCGUGUUACUGUAUGUGAUUAAAUUGGGAUGUUUUUUUUGCAGAUCCCAAACCUUAGAACAUGUUUGCUCCUCCUUUGAUGUUCUAGUCCAGGGAUGGGCAACUUUGAUGUGGGUGGGAGCCACCAUAAAUCUGAAGUCAUUAUGAGGGGCUGCAGUGGCUCACGGUUCUGCAUACCCACAUCCAUAACCGCACAUGCAGUCAGAGACAGCCCUAGACUUUUGGGGGCCCUGAGCAGAAUGUUUUAGUUUUUGGGGGGGAAAUUCAUCCGCAGGCGUGCAAAAGGACCAGUUUCCCAUCCCUGCUCUAGACUGGCCGUUUACAUGUCUCUGGAUUACAGCAUCUGCUAAAUGACUAAAAUGUAAAUGUUAACCAAGGGGUGAUUUUAUUAUUGAAUUAGAUCAUAAGUCAUUUGACAUAAAUAUCCACACAUGUUUUAUUAGACAGCGAUACUAUGAUCUGACAUAUUGACCACAUACAUAUCUGUUUCAUUGGAAUGUCAUGAGGAGAGACGCAACUCAGUUGACUGUAUUUUCCAAAAGGUUGUUGCAUUUUUUUGUUUUUGCAUAUGUCUGUAUACAAGUCCUUAUUGUUGUACUCGCUCAUUGGCUUACUGCAUUGGUGACAUCAAUUCACAUUGAUCACAAACAGCGCAGUGCAUAAAAUCUUUUUUUGUUUCAGCAUUCAGUUGAACAUGGGUAACUUCAAAGACAUGACUGAAGUGAGAGUAUUGUGUUUACAUUAGAAGUUUAUUCCACUGCAACUCUGUUACUACAUACACCUUCUCAAUGCAAAUGCUUUGAUACAGAUUCGGGAUGGUGGUCAAAUUACAUUAGAAACAAGCCUUAUAUUCCAUUUUAGACUUUAUGUACAGAGUUCAAAUUACGACGUGUUGAAUUACUUGACAUGACUAGAAAAGUAUCUUUACAGUAUAUUUUGUUGUUAUUGAGAGUUAUUCUAGUAGGAUAAACCUGCUGUUUACGUACAAUGGUCCAGCCUACUGUUUAAUCUUGUGAUCUCUUUUACAAGUGUUUUCUUCUUGUUUGGUAAAUAAAUAAAGCUUCUUCUUGAAUUGA